rnacentral:rRNA from 1 species
UACGGAGAGUGCAAACGUUGUUCGGAUUCACUGGGCGUAAAGGGCACGUAGGCGGCUCGGCAAAUCGGUCGUGGAAUCCCGACGCUUACCGUCGGAACGGCGGCCGAAAAUACCGGGCUCGAGGGCGUGAGGGGUCACUGGAACUCCUGGUGAAGCGGUGAAAUGCGUAGAUAUCAGGAGGAACGCCGGAGGCGAAAGCGGCCAACUGGACGAACACUGACGCUGAGACACGAAAGCGUGGGGAGCAAACAGG